UCCGUUGUAGUCUAGUUGGUUAGGAUACUCGGCUCUCACCUGAGAGACCAGGGUUCGUUCCCCGGCAACGGUG
rnacentral:tRNA from 1 species